rnacentral:rRNA from 10 species
GAAACCCAGUGUGACUCGUCACACUAUCAUUAACUGAAUCCAUAGGUUAAUGAGGCGAACCGGGGGAACUGAAACAUCUAAGUACCCCGAGGAAAAGAAAUCAACCGAGAUUCCCCCAGUAGCGGCGAGCGAACGGGGAGGAGCCCAGAGCCUGAAUCAGCAUGUGUGUUAGUGGAAGCGUCUGGAAAGGCGCGCGAUACAGGGUGACAGCCCCGUACACAAAAGCGCAUGUGCUGUGAGCUCGAUGAGUAGGGCGGGACACGUGGUAUCCUGUCUGAAUAUGGGGGGACCAUCCUCCAAGGCUAAAUACUCCUGACUGACCGAUAGUGAACCAGUACCGUGAGGGAAAGGCGAAAAGAACCCCGGCGAGGGGAGUGAAAAAGAACCUGAAACCGU